rnacentral:tmRNA from 1 species
GGGGGCGUACCGGCUUCGACGGGGAUGCUGAGGCGCGACAAGCGGGUCGUGGUGCCCACCACGUUAAUAGGGCAACCUUAUAAAUUAAGCAACAACGAUAAUCUUGCUUACGCUGCCUAAUUAAAGGCGGCCGUCCACCCCGGAAGGACCACGAGCCGGGCCUGGGCGUGACUUAGUGGUGAACGUGACUGCGCUAAGCUUUGCGCGCAGACAUGUAUUCAUGAAGCUACCGAAUCCUUGAGCCUGCCGGCAGGCGCUCGGAUGAGGGAAUGUAAAUUACCGGCUGCACCCGGAGAAAGUCGCGAGGACGUGUUUUCGGACGCGGGUUCGACUCCCGCCGCCUCCACCA